AACGAACGCUGGCGGCAUGCCUAACACAUGCAAGUCGAACGAUGGUCUCGCUUCGGUGGGGCCAUAGUGGCGCACGGGUGAGUAACACGUGGGAAUCUGCCUAUCGGUUCGGGAUAACGUUUGGAAACGAACGCUAACACCGGAUACGCCCUUCGGGGGAAAGUUUACGCCGAUAGAGGAGCCCGCGUCCGAUUAGGUAGUUGGUGGGGUAAAGGCCUACCAAGCCGACGAUCGGUAGCUGGUCUGAGAGGAUGAUCAGCCACACUGGGACUGAGACACGGCCCUGACUCCUACGGGAGGCAGCAGUGGGGAAUAUUGGACAAUGGGCGCAAGCCUGAUCCAGCAAUGCCGCGUGAGUGAUGAAGGCCUUAGGGUUGUAAAGCUCUUUCGCACGUGACGAUGAUGACGGUAACGUGAGAAGAAGCCCCGGCUAACUUCGUGCCAGCCGCCGCGGUAA
rnacentral:rRNA from 1 species